rfam:Schistosoma mansoni, Puerto Rico, WGS project CABG01000000 data, contig: 0208
GCACUUCCGAGGAGUUCCACAAUAGGACGAAACGGCCGUCCAGUAC